ensembl:lncRNA
CUACAACACCUGUUCACUAUUACCUUCAAGAGCUCCACUGCACCAAGGAAGAACACAGACACAGCAGUAAUGGAUAGGUGUAUACCACACUGUGGGGACAAAAACAAAGGUAGUUCCAUUGGCAACGUACAUGGAGGUGGAGGCAAUGCGAACAUUGGCAAUGCAUCAGGAGGUGGAGGAAGUCACAUUGGCAACGUACACGGUGGUGGAGGCAACGAGAACAUUGGCAAUGUAUCAGGAGGUGGAGGAAGUCACAUUGGCGACGUACACGGUGGUGGAGGCAACACCAACAUUGGCAAUGUAUCAGGAGGUGGAGGAAGUCACAUUGGCAACAUAGAUGGGGGUGGAGGCAACACCGGCAUUGGCAACGUUGGAAAAUAAUCUGGAUGCCAUUAGGGCCGCUUCACCAAAAGCCUGUCAACAUCCCUGCUCACUCUGGGUUGAAGAUUAUGAAAACUGGGUGCAUAUUCAUGUUCUUAGUUCUAUCAGAUUCACUCUAGGAGUAUGGUUUUAAUCAGCAUUGUAACCGUUCUUGUUUUUGUCAAAUAAAUAAAUGUUACAACACUGA